AAUCAACGCUGGCGGCGUGCCUCAGACAUGCAAGUCGAACGAUUAAAGCUCUCUUCGGAGAGUGCAUAAAGUGGCGCACGGGUGAGUAACACGUAAGUAAUCUACCUUCGAGUGGGAAUAACGUCCGGAACGGACGCUAAUACCGCAUAAUGCAGCGGCAUCGCAAGAUGACAGUUGUUAAAGAUUUAUCGCUUGAGAGGAGCUUGCGGCAGAUAGCUAGUUGGUAAGGUAAUGGCUUACCAAGGCUACGAUCUGUAACCGGUCUAAGAGGACGGUCGGUCACACUGACACUGAAUAACGGGUUCGGACUCCUACGGGAGGCAGCAGUCGGGAA
rnacentral:rRNA from 1 species